rnacentral:lncRNA from 1 species
CAUAUCUACAAAAAGACAUUAACCGCAUAGAGAACAUUCAACGAAGAGCAGAUAGGUUUGUUUUUAAAGACUAUAGACGUACUAGUAGUGUCACCUCCAUGAUGAAGGAUCUUCAAUGAAAACCUCUUGUGGAAAGAAGACGUGAACAACGACUGGUACUACUGUACAUAAUAUUGAACGACCUGGUAGCCAAUCCCACUGAACAUCAUAUAGAAUUUAAUACUAGACCACCCAGGACUUCAAACGUCAAACAAAUAAAACUUGUAUCAGCAAAUACUGACAUUUAUAAACAGCAUUAAUUGAAAAAUACUACAAAAUACUGC